AUUGAACGCUGGCGGAAUGCUUUACACACGCAAGUCGAACGGCAGCACGGACUUCGGUCUGGUGGCGAGUGGCGAACGGGUGAGUAAUGUAUCGGAACGUGCCCAGUCGUGGGGGAUAACGUAGUGAAAGCUACGCUAAUACCGCAUACGACCUAUGGAUGAAAGCGGGGGAUCGCAAGACCUCGCGCGAUUGGAGCGGCCGAUAUCAGAUUAGGUAGUUGGUGAGGUAAAGGCUCACCAAGCCGACGAUCUGUAGCUGGUCUGAGAGGACGACCAGCCACACUGGGACUGAGACACGGCCCAGACUCCUACGGGAGGCAGCAGUGGGGAAUUUUGGACAAUGGGCGCAAGCCUGAUCCAGCCAUUCCGCGUGAGUGAAGAAGGCCUUCGGGUUGUAAAGCUCUUUCGCAAGGGAAGAAAACUUAGCCUCUAACAUAGGCUGAGGUUGACGGUACCUUGAUAAGAAGCACCGGCUAACUACGUGCCAGCCGCCGCGGUAA
rnacentral:rRNA from 1 species